UUUUGGAGUAAACAAGGCUUUCUCUCUUUCACAGAAGAUAAGUUGACUGAGAUGGAAAGAUGUGGGUAGGAUUCCACAGAGACCUCCUGCCCACCCAUUAAUCCUCUUUGCACCUCUUCUGGUUAUUUUCAGUCUUCCAUCUCUAUUGUCUGAAGAGGCCCAGUUUAAUUUAACUGCCCAAUAUGCUGGACUACCUCCCAAAAUGCUUCUGUGAUGUGUCACCUUUUGCUUUCUGUAAAUCCUUAAAACUCACUUUUUCCAGGAAUCAUGAAAACACUCCCAAAUCUUACUCUCCCAGCCUAAGCUGAAGCAACCAUUGCUAACCCAUUGCCAGCUGCUUGCUCUUCCUUGCUUUGAAUUUUAGACAGUAUAUUCAGUUUCCCCUUGAGCUGCUGGAAUGGAAAGUUACACCAUUAAUAAUGCAGGAUCAUGCUUCUUGCACAGAUUGCGCAAUACAGACGUAGGAGGAAAAACAGAUUAUGGUCCAAUGUAGGCUUAGUGUUGCUUUGUUUGCAAACAAGCCAAGAGUGGAAAAUUAUUUCAAAAGUAUACUUGACGUUUUGAGAGCGGGUCUGUCUACCUUUUUUCUACCUCUAUGGCUAUACAGUACUUUUUGCAUGUGUGCAUGUCUAACCUUUUCGUACCUCUAGAGAUAGAAACGACGUUCCCGCGGCGGAACCGGAAAAGGGAAAAAAGGCGCGAGCCAAUCAAAAGCGGCGUUUGCUUUUAGCCAAUGAAUACACAGGCAUAUUAAGGAUGCUGUGACUUAUAGCCGUGCGCGGCGGAAGGUCGCUCCUUUUGACUUCUCCCUGCGCGGACGGCGUGUUGGUAAAGAGAAAUGGAAUGAAGUUUCCAGGACCACCAGGUAUGUGCAGCAAGUUAAACAUUUCUGCUGAAUAUAUGGGCUAUUUGUGUGAUGUCUUGAGCUACUUUAAUUUAUACACUUGCAUGGAAGAUCUCAGACAGAUUUCCAGGCAGAAGAAACAACGAAUGUAUUGCCAAAAAUGUAUAUGUAUCAACAGUGCUUAUAGGCAACCUUUUGUAUUCAGUUAUAUAGCAAUAAUAAAUUUGCUUUUUGAUUGUGAAUAAGGUUUUGUGACAUUAUUUCUUUCUUUUUUGGGGGGAUAGCACUUCCAUGUGUGUGAUUUCAACCAUUAAGUAAUUUAUCCAAACUACAACACAGCCAUGAGUGAGUUUUUUUUAUUUAUUAUUUUUGCCUCGUGUGCUAGUUGUUUAAUGUUGCAAAGACAUCUGGCCAGGCUAGAAAUGGGGACACACCAAUUUGUCUAUCCCAACAGGCAUUAAUAGGUGUACUAUGUUAUUAGCGUACCCACCAAUGAUUCAUCAAGCCUGCAUUCUCCAUCUUAGACAGACAGUAACUGGCCAUCAUGUCUAAAACAUCUCGUUGAAUUUUUAGGCACCUCUGUUUUUCUCCCUGCCCCACAUAUAUACCCUGUAGCCUGAUGAAGAUCUCUAGAAUUCUUAUAUACAAUUUUGGACUUGUAGUCAAUACUAAUAAAGGUAUUGCCCAGUUUUGGAUUUUGUUAUGA
ensembl:lncRNA